rnacentral:lncRNA from 1 species
GUCAUUUUGGUAAUAGAAAAAAAAAAAAAAAAGAAUUAGAAGGGGAAGGAAAGAGAAGCACCUUAACUCUUCGCCGGCAGAGAUCUUGUUACACAGCAGCAUCGCCCCACAGGACAGAAGCCUCUGCAGCCAUCAAAGAAAAUGAGGUCGAGCUAAGAGGGCCAACGUGGAAAGCUCCCGGGACAUGGUGUUAAAUGUAAAAAGCAAGUUGCAGACGACGCAUGAAAUAUGUAUGAUUCAAUUUGUGAAAAAGCAGCAUCGCUAGAAAAAAACUGUGUAUUUUAUUUCGUAUGUACACACAGUGUGUAGAUCCAUGUAAAGAAAGCAGUCCAGACGGUGGGGCGGGGUUGGAGAUGCAGCCAGCCCUGCUUUGUGUCUACAUACUCUGGCAUGCUUGGCGCCCCCAUGCGCGAGGUCAUGUGCUCCUGCCAUAAUUUAAACAAAUGCCUGAACAGCAAAAUGAAAUUAGAAUAGGCAGCUGGACGUGGUCUGGAGUGCAACAGGGAGGUGCGGUGCGGUGAGGAAUUGUCUGCCAGGCUUCUGGAGGCACCUGGGCCGUGUGGGUUCACAGCGGUCAUCCAGGGAUGGAUGGACAUGCUGGCACCUCGUCCUUGACGUGUCCCAUCGCACUUCCCUCUCCCGCCCACGAGGACCUCGGUAAUGUCGCCCCUGAAACUGCUGUGGAACCUGGAGCCCACUGUGACGCAGAAUUGGAAUCCCAGCUCAGCCCCUGCACACCUGGUUGCCCGGAGAAAUGCCUUAUUCCUGAGAGCCCCUUGGUUCUUCUCCGUCUCCGGUUAGACGCAUCUCAGAGUAUUUCUGGAAAAGCAGUGACCGAGCCUGUAGAGGUCAUGAGGCACCUGGGCCAAGCCCCGAGAUGCUCCCAGAAACAGCACUUGAGUCGUGCACUUGAAAUUCAAAGCACUGUCCACCUUUGACAAAGCAAGCUCCUCUUGUCCGGUCAUGUACAGCGCCUGAGCCACAGAAGAGGCCCCCAGAAGCCUCCUCCAGCAGACAGGAAUGAGGAGGCACUGCCCGUGAGGAGGGUGCACGGCGGCCUGCAGCCUGAGGAACACACGUGACAUGGAACAGCAAGGAUUUUCCACCACGGGGUUGCUCCGUCUGUGCAGGGUCCCAAGGGUGCCGAGAACACUGAAGACUUCAAGGGCCUGGCAUCAAACACUGCUCUGGGGAGUAAACAGACACCUGCUGAGAGCAAAGGGAG